rnacentral:lncRNA from 1 species
GUUUUAGCAUGUAUAGGAGAUUCCAAAGCAGAGUUACCUAUAUCAAUUUUAGUACUAUUAUUUUCAUAUUCUACUGGAUAAGAAAUUACUUAUUUGGAACUAAGAAUUAUUCUUGCAACAGAAGCUUAUCAGUAACACUAUUUGAUUGCUUUUUGCUGUGUGCACAGGUGAGGACCUGUCUAGACUUCUAUACUAUGUACAUUGUAUUAAUUUUGUUCAUAAAUUAGGUAAUUGAGUUAUAGAUACUAAUUUAAUAUUUAAAAAAUUUAGAUUGUUGAUUUUAAAUAUCAGAAUAACCAAACUGUAACAACAGUGCUGGGAUUUUGGUAUUUAAAAAGGGCAGAGUAUACCAGAAUAUUGAAAACUGGUAUUGAAAUCACUACAUAUAAUUGAAUUAUGAAAAAGUACCUUUAAGAUAAUAAAGCACUACAUAAAUAUGAGCUCAUAUCAUAUAUUUGACAGUAGGGCAUUAUUUUUACAGGUUAACAUUCAAUUAAUCUGACUAUGAAUUAGAAAAAUCUUGAAUUUGUAGAGUUCAUUUAACUUUAUUAAAGCAAUUUGCCAACUCAGCUACAGAAAUACAGAAAAUAUUACUAUCUGGAGAACUACCCAGUCGUAAGUUUAUCAUCGUUGAAAUUGCUUAAGCAGAGAUUAGGUGACCAUUCCUCAGGAAUAGUAUACGAAGGAUUCCUGCAGUGGUGGAGGUGUGUAUUUGAUUGCUGUCAGUGUGCCUUCUGAUACUAACAUUCUGUAAUUCCCUGCUCAUUUAUCACACAACAAAACAUGAGACAAAAAUAACUCCAUAAAAUAUAUGUUGAUUAUACCAUAUAGGUUGUAUACAUAUAGACUAUAAAUAUGAGCUUUCAAAAACGUUUUGCCAUUAGCUAAUAACUAACAAAAUCAGUUUUAUUAGGGUGGUUUUGUGUUUAUAUUGCAUGGUGUUCAAUGAGCUUAUAUCUGUAGUUUUCAUCAAAUGUGGAAAAUUUUGGGCCAUUUUUGUAUUAUUUUUCUGCCCUUUCCUGUCCUCCUGGGACUUUAAUUACAGCCUGUUGUAAACCACUUGAUAUUGUUCCUUUUGGUUCUUUUUUUAUAUCUUCUGUCACUGUAUUUAUGUUUUCCUUUAAGUAAUUGGAUAGGCAUAUAAUGACUUUUAGCAUACUUACACAGUAUCUUUUUCAUUUCUCAGUCUGUUUCUGGUGACUGAUUUUUCUCCUGGUUUCGGGUUUCAUUUUCUGCUUCUUGUAAUAUCUACUAAUUUUAUAUUAGAUGCCAGGCAUUGAUGAUUUCACAUUGUUGGUUAUAGAUUUAUUCUUAUAGGCAGUUAAAUUAAUUGCAGUUCAGUUUCUUCUUUUCAAGCCUUUGUUAGGGUAAGUAUAGAGUGAGCUUCACCCCACAGAGAGUUUAACACCAUUUCUAAGGCAUAGCUAUUGUGGGAUCACUAGAAAAUUCUGUGAGUGAUCAGCUGGGACACUCAACACUGGCUAGUUGGACCUCAGAUGCCUCACAGGCCUGUGUGGCACUCUGCUUGACCUCGUAGAGUUUUGCUCUAGGCUUACAUGUCUUAAUAUCCAGCCACCUCUCAAGGGGCUCCUAUGCAGAUUUCUGGAAUUCUGUUUUUACAUAUCUGUUAGCUCUCUGGUACUCUGCUCUGCAACUUCAGCCACUUCAGCCUCCCUGAACUCCAGCCUCUGUCUUCUCAACUACAUGAAACCACCAUGCUUUGUUUGGGAUCCCCUACCCUGCUCUGAGGUCUGUGCCUGCAGGUAGAAAUCUAGAAUGAUGGAUGGGCCUCACUUCAUUCCUCUCAGGGGUCAUAGUCUUAAGGUGCAUGUCAAUAUCUGCAGUUGUUUCAUAUAUUUUUGACUAAUUUUCUGUUUCUUCACAGUAAGAAGCUAAAUCUUUCCCCUGUUACUCUCAAAGCCAGAAGUAAAGGAUAAAGCAUUAAAAUAAAAGCAAAGAAAAUAUUUUAAAAUCUAAUAU